CCCCCUCUUGCCCCCUGGUCCCGGCUGCACCAGCCUCCCCCUCUGCGAAACUUCGGGGAACCUCUGUUGAACACCCGCGCUCCCUACAAAACGCAAGCACACACACGACAGGUGUGUGACACCCGCCGGGGCCACCCACCCUCCUCGGCGACCUCUCUCCACUAGGGAGGAGGGACUCCUGUGUGACCACUCUGCAGAAGGGAAAGCUGGCCGUGACAGUUGGUGGAAGAUCAAGGGUCUGAACAAACCUCAAAAGACCCCCCAUCACCACAGACUCGGGCUCAGCAGUCUUCAAGUGGCUGAGGCUGUGUGGCGGGCUUCCAUCUAAGCGAAUGAUAGGGAGCAAGUUCCGGCCUCAUCUUCCCACAAAGAGGGCUCUCGGGGAGAGCUCUCAGGACCCCCUGUGUUCCCGGGUGGCUGGAGCUGAGAGGGGCCGCAAUCACGCAGACCCUGAGACGCCAGCUCCCAACCUCGCUGUGGACUCUCCCUUGCCUGACGGGUGUGGACCGGCUUGGGCCCACCGUGGACAGAGUGGGGCGUGGGUGGGGGGAGC